GGGUUGUGAGGUUAAGCGACUAAGCGUACACGGUGGAUGCCCUGGCAGUCAGAGGCGAUGAAGGACGUGCUAAUCUGCGAUAAGCGUCGGUAAGGUGAUAUGAACCGUUAUAACCGGCGAUUUCCGAAUGGGGAAACCCAGUGUGAUUCGUCACACUAUCAUUAACUGAAUCCAUAGGUUAAUGAGGCGAACCGGGGGAACUGAAACAUCUAAGUACCCCGAGGAAAAGAAAUCAACCGAGAUUCCCCCAGUAGCGGCGAGCGAACGGGGAGCAGCCCAGAGCCUGAAUCAGUGUGUGUGUUAGUGGAAGCGUCUGGAAAGGCGCGCGAUACAGGGUGACAGCCCCGUACACAAAAAUKCACAUGCUGUGAGCUCGAUGAGUAGGGCGGGACACGUGGUAUCCUGUCUGAAUAUGGGGGGACCAUCCUCCAAGGCUAAAUACUCCUGACUGACCGAUAGUGAACCAGUACCGUGAGGGAAAGGCGAAAAGAACCCCGGCGAGGGGAGUGAAAAAGAACCUGAAACCGUGUACGUACAAGCAGUGGGAGCACGCUUAGGCGUGUGACUGCGUACCUUUUGUAUAAUGGGUCAGCGACUUAUAUUCUGUA
rnacentral:rRNA from 1 species